UACGGAGGGUGCAAGCGUUAUCCGGAUUCACUGGGUUUAAAGGGCGCGUAGGCGGCUAGGUAAGUCCGUGGUGAAAUCCUGCAGCUUAACUGCAGGACUGCCGUGGAUACUAUCUAUCUUGAAUGUCGUGGAGGUUAGCGGAAUAUGUCAUGUAGCGGUGAAAUGCUUAGAUAUGACAUAGAACACCCAUUGCGAAGGCAGCUAACUACGCGAAUAUUGACGCUGAGGCACGAAAGCGUGGGGAUCAAACAGG
rnacentral:rRNA from 1 species